UCGGGUCACCAGAAAACCCGAUUUCUUUAAUCCCCAAAAUCGAUCAAAACGAAAUCCCUAAACCUAAUUCUCCACCGCGACGUCGGUUGGGCUCCAGUGGUAUCAAAUCGCGGUGACACUUCUAUGAGAUAAGUGAAGAGAGGAGAAAAGCACUAUACCAUCGUCUCAAUUUGUCCAAGACAAGCCAGUAAGCACAACUGUUCCACUGGGUACUUACAUGCAAUGCAUAGGCCAAAGCGUUCAAUGAUGGCUAUUUUAUUUCUUCUGGCUGAUUUUUGAACAAUAUGUACACUUUAUUUAUUGUAGUGGUUCCUUGCCAAAAGAAAAGAGUGGGGAGAAGUGGGAUAAGAGAUCAUGACCUUUAAAA